rnacentral:rRNA from 1 species
AUUGAACGCUGGCGGAAUGCUUUACACAUGCAAGUCGAGCGGCAGCGCGGGGCAACCUGGCGGCGAGCGGCGAACGGGUGAGUAAUGCAUCGGAACAUGUCCAUGUCGUGGGGGAUAGCCCGGCGAAAGCCGGAUUAAUACCGCAUACGCCCGAGAGGGGAAAGCCGGGGACCGCAAGGCCUGGCGCGAUUGGGUUGGCCGAUGUCCGAUUAGCUAGUUGGCGGAGUAAAAGCCCACCAAGGCGACGAUCAGUAGCUGGUCUGAGAGGACGACCAGCCACACUGGGACUGAGACACGGCCCAGACUCCUACGGGAGGCAGCAGUGGGGAAUUUUGGACAAUGGGCGCAACCCUGAUCCAGCCAUGCCGCGUGCGGGAAGAAGGCCUUCGGGUUGUAAACCGCUUUUGGCAGGAACGAAACGGCGCGAGCGAAUAUCUCGCGUUAAUGACGGUACCUGCAGAAUAAGCACCGGCUAACUACGUGC